rnacentral:tRNA from 1 species
GCCGGGAUGGCGGAAUGGCAGACGCAGCGGACUUAAAAUCCGCCGGAGAAAUCCUUGUGGGUUCGAAUCCCUCUCCCGGCACCA